rnacentral:misc_RNA from 1 species
GAAACCCUCUUACAGUAUUGGUCAGCCCCUACAGAGUCCCAUGAACUUUUUGUAUCAUAAAUGCAUUUUGGUCAACAUGUGGAAGGUUUGUAUCAUUCUUCUUCUGUAGAUGUCUACUCCUGUUGAGAUCUAAAUGAUUUAGAAUCUUGUUAAUUCUAUGCUUUUGUGGAGUUUCUGUGAUGAUGGAAGACUAGGAAUCAGAAUUAGAAUAGGGUACUCGAUGCAUAAAUUUGACACAAAUAUUAUUUUCUAAAUUUGAAUUCGUUGUAAAUUUAAUUAUAUAUUAUCAAAACUCGUUAGUUCUUCUAUCA